AUGUGCCGGGUGUUUGCACAUUUGAUGGGGCACACAGUGUCUGUGGCCUCGCUGCUUGUGCUGGCACUUGAUUUUCUUUAUCAGCUUUUCAUCACUCACGGAGUGGACAGGCACAGAAGGCACUUAAGGUAUAUUCCGGGCGCGGGUGACUCAGGCGCUGGAGGGGCUGCCCCAGUUUCCUCUCUGGUGGGCCCACUGCUGAGAAGCUGCGCCUGCUCGUCAGUUUCCUUUCAGGUCAGUUUCUCUCGCAGCCCACACCCUGAUACCAAAAGAUGGUGGCAGGGAGCUCGGGGACUGGCGCGGGCUGUGCCCCUCGGACCCCUGAGAGGCUGCGGGUUAGCGGGGAGCGGGGAGGGAGAUGCCAGCCCCACCCCCUGCCCGGCAGUCGUCACCCGGGACAAGGCACUGUACAGGCCCCUGGGGGUCUCUCCAGGGAGCGCCCCGCCUCUGGCGCUGUGGAGACCCCCUGCCCUGCGGCUUCCUGGAGGACGUCUGUGGGCCACAGAGCAGGCCAGGGAGGCGGGGGGCGGGUGUUGAAGGUCAGGGGCGGUGAGGGGGUGGACAGUCAGAGCGGGGGGCGGAGGCUGGAUCAGGAGGAAGAGCUCCGUGUCCUCACCCGGGG
rnacentral:lncRNA from 1 species